rnacentral:rRNA from 1 species
UACGGGGGGGGCAAGCGUUGUUCGGAAUUACUGGGCGUAAAGGGCUCGUAGGCGGCCAACUAAGUCAGACGUGAAAUCCCUCGGCUUAACCGGGGAACUGCGUCUGAUACUGGAUGGCUUGAGGUUGGGAGAGGGAUGCGGAAUUCCAGGUGUAGCGGUGAAAUGCGCAGAUAUCAGGAAGAACACCAAUGGCGAAGGCAGCUCUCUGGGACGGUACUGACACUGAGACGCGAAAGCGUGGGGAGCGAACAGG